UGCCUAAACCCUUUAUAGGAUAUGGCAGAAAAAACCUUGUGAGAAGUAAGCUCCUUAUCAGAGCAUCUCACAAGGUUAUCAUCCGAAAGGGUGGUAGGUGGUGAAAGCCAUC
rnacentral:sRNA from 1 species